GCGAGGGGCGGGGCUUGUCCGCCUCCCCACCCGCACCACCUCCCCUCCACUGAGAGCUUCCACCAGCCGCUCGGCUGUCAGGCGCGGUGGCCAAGUGGAGUUCAGCCCCUCCUCUACCGGUUCGUGGCCAGAGCACUGUAACUCUUUCCAGAGGCCCCGCACAGCUGCUGAACUCCCUGCAUCCUCUACCCUUCAACUCCGGUCUGGAUCCCGCGACGAAGGCAAGCCUUCUCUGUGAACUUUCCUUCCCUACAACGUGCGUGCGUGUCGCCGCUUUCCCCUGCUCAGCCAACUGUCCUCCCCUCCCCCAGGCGCCCACACCUU